GUGGAAUUUUUGGGAUUUUUGGGAUUUGGUGACUCCAGAAUCCGUGGAAUUUUUGGGAUUUUUGGGAUUUGGAGACUCCAGAAUCCGUGGAAUUUUUGGGAUUUUUGGGAUUUAUUCCCGGCGCCGUUCCCAGGCUGUCGCUGCUGCUGCCGCCGCCGGCUCUGGAGCGAGCGCUGCUGCUCCUGCGCCGCUUCCACGCCCGAUUCCUGCGGGAAUUCUCCUGAGGCGGAACCUUCCGGAAGCCCAAAUUCCCACCGGGAUUUCCCGGCACCGGGAAAAACUCGGGAAUUCCCACAAAAACCCUGAUCUUAUUUGGAGUCUCCUGUGGGAUUUGGGGAAUCUGGGAUCGGAUUUUUGGGAAUUUUCUGGGGAUUUUUGGGAAUUUUCUGGGGAUUUUUUUGAUUUUUUGGGAAUUCAGGAUGGGAUUUUUUUUUUAUUUCUGAUUUUUUUUGGGAAUCUGGGCUUGGAUUUUUGGGAUUUUUUGGGAAUUUUUGGGAAUUUUUGGGAAUUUAGGAUGGGAUUUUUUUUAUUAUUUGGGAUUUUUUUGGGAAUCUGGGAAAUUUGGGAAUCUGGGAUCGGAUUUUUUGGAAUUUUCUGGGGAUUUUUGGGAAUUUUCUGGGAAUUUUUUGGGAUUUUUUGGGAAUUCAGGAUCUUUUUUUUUUAAUUUGUCAUUUUUUUGGGAAUCUGGGAUUGGAUUUUUGGGAAUUUUCUGGGGAUUUUUGGGAUUUGGUGACUCUGGAAUUUGGGGAUUUGGGAUAUGGGGACUCUGGGAUUUGUGGAAUUUUUGGGAUUUGGGGACUCCAGAAUUUGGGAUUUUUGGGAUUUUUGGGGAUUUUUGGGAUUUUUGGGGAUUUUUGGGAUUUGCUGACUCCAGAAUCCGUGGAAUUUUUGGGAUUUUUGGGAUUUUUGGGAUUUGGGUACUCCAGAAUCCGUGGGAUUUUUGGGAUUUUUGGGAUUUGGGGACUCCAGAAUCCGUGGAAUUUUUGGGAUUUUUGGGAUUUGGAGACUCCAGAAUCCGUGGAAUUUUUGGGAUUUUUGGGGAUUUUUGGGAUUUGGAGACUCCGGAAUCUGUGGAAUUUUUGGGAUUUUUGGGAUUUGCUGGCUCCAGAAUCCGUGGAAUUUUUGGGAUUUUUGGGAUUUUUGACUCCAGAAUCCGUGGAAUUUUGGGGAUUUUUUUGGGAUUUUUGGGAUUUGGUGACUCCAGAAUCCGUGGAAUUUUGGGGAUUUUUUUGGGAUUUUUGGGAUUUGGUGACUCCAGAAUCCGUGGGAUUUUUGGGAAUUUUUGGGAUUUGGUGACUCCAGAAUCCGUGGAAUUUUUGGGAUUUUUGGGAUUUUUGG
rnacentral:lncRNA from 1 species